GCUCCGACAUGGAAGAUGGACCUUCUAACAAUGCGAGUUGCUUCCGAAGGCUGACCGAGUGUUUCCUCAGCCCCAGUUUGACGGAUGAGAAAGUGAAGGCCUACCUCUCUCUCCACCCCCAGGUCUUAGAUGAGUUUGUUUCUGAAAGUGUUAGCGCAGAGACUGUAGAAAAAUGGUUGAAGAGAAAGAACAACAAAGUUGAAGAUGAAUCGGCUCCUAAGGAAGUCAGCAGGGUGAGUAACUGAAUGUACUUUCUACAGUGCUGCCCCAGGACUGCAAACACAGAGUUCCUUCCUCUAAAUUUCCAUGUUAUCUUAGCCUCAAGGUGAGAAAAGUGUGGCAGAAACUCUGCACCCUCUCCAGGGUGUCCCUAGGGGAGGCAGUGAAGAGAGAGGCUCCACCCAGAAGCCCCAGGGCUGAACACCCAGACUAGACACACUCACGCCUACACAUCCAGAGUUGUGCCACGGGCAGGGCUGUUAGAGCCAAGAGACAGCAGGUAGAGGCUGGAUUUACAGAUCCUACCGGGGAACCAGGAAAGGCAGCAUUUGACCAGCAUCCUCACUAGAGGCCACCUAAGCCGUGACCUGCAGAGGCCACCUUCAAGCUCUCUGUUCUGCAGGACACCACAGCCCACCACUGAACCGGCUCCCUCUUGUACUUUACCGGUGAAGAUCUCUGGAUCUCAGUUGGGUCAUCUUGCUUGUGGAGGGACCAAGGUUGAUGUCUGUGGUGAAAGCAUGACAGUGCUCAGAGACAUCCAGUGCUGUUGCCAUCUGGUAUAAUACAGUUAAGGGGUCUAGCCAUCACAAUAAGCUGGGCAGGUGGACUGGGGACAGCUCAAAUGGUGAAGCAAGUACCUCUGGUACACCCCAGCACCCAUCUUAACAGGCAGGGGUGGCAGUGCACAUCCUUAACCCUAGGGUCAGGGGCAUCCGAGGGGUCCAGGAUUAUCCAUAUGCUUACUACCAGCCAUGUUCCUGUCUUUUCUGAUGCAUGAUUGACACUUAGAAGUUCUGAGCUGGGCAUCGGUGGCUGAGGCCUUUAAUUCCAGCAUUUGGGAGGCAGAAACUGGCAGGUCUCUGUGAGUUUGAGGCCAACUUGGUCUACAGAGGGAGUUCCAAAACAGCCAGGGCUACAUAGUGAGACCCUGUCUCGAAAAGACAAAAAUGGACAAACAAAUCAACAAAAGAUGAAAAAGAAAAGAAAGAAGGAAGCUCUGACCAGAACAGGGAGAGAUGUGAUCAAUAUGAAAAGCUAUCUCAUCUCUCAGUUAGAUGUGCCACUUUGUGGGCACGUCUGGGGCUCCUAAGUGCAGAACCCUACAGUUAUGUGUUGUUGUACUCUCAGAAAUGGAAUUGUGACAGGAAUGGAGUCCAUUUUGAAGUUUUCUUCCAUAAUGUUAAUCCUGCCCCCCCCUCCGCCCCCCCCCCAGUAUUUAUAAAAGGCUGCUGUUAGCUCUUGGAAUGCAUGGUAUUCAUUAGAAUAUUGGUAUAAAUGCUUUGGAUUUACUAAGCCAACCUGAUGUGGGGAGUUUCACACUUAACUGAAACCCCUCUGUUUGGGGUGUUCUCACUGGUGUUUCUUGGCACAUCAGCCCCUUGUGUUUGUUGUCUUAACUCUGCUGAUCCUCAACAUUCUCUAAGACCUCCAGGGCCACUGUGUGCCCUGCUAACUGUGAGUUCUGUAGUGACUACCUACUUUUGCUCACCUCGGGCCAUCACAUUUAAGAUUGUAUCUGUGUUUCCACCCCUACAGUUAGCCCAUUGAUAAUCACUCACUGGAUUUGAGUUCUCCUGAGAAAACAAAUGCUUCCCUAAUAUUCAUUUUCUGUAGGUCCUUCCCCACACAAAAGUUAGCUUUUGUCCCAUGUCCCAUUGUGUCCCAUGUCCCCUCACAUAGUGAGGACAGACCUUCCUUCACAAACCAUUUUAAAUGUAGUUGUGGAGCUUGUGGGGGAGCCCAUUGUUUCUUUCCUUCCUUCCUUCCUUCCUUCCUUCUUUCUUUCUUUUUUUCUUUCUUUCUUUCUGAUGGUACUUGUGAAUGGCUGGCUAGUUUCCCCAUACCUCUUAUCUUUUCAUGUCUCUGUCUCACAGACUUUCCUGACAGCUGAGAGGGUGAGUGACAUCACCUUCAGAGUUAAGUGAUCCGGGGCCUUGAGGGGACAGGACUUAGCAUAGUCCCUGGAAGUGUGACUGCCAGGUUUUUCCUAGGUGGACGGACAGAUUGCUUUGCCAGGUGUUCUGAGGGAAUGGUAAUGGUCACUGUCAACCCAGUCCUGGAGCCACACCAGGCUCUCUCUGUGUUAAAUUGGGAUCCCGUGUGUCAUUACUCUCCCCAGGAUAUUGUUAUUUACUUUAUGAGCCAUCCUUUUGGGAAGAGGAUUUUAAGUAAGCCCCAGGUGGUCAUUUUCAGCUUGGCUUUGUUGGUCUUGAAACUUUGGCAAGGUUGCCUUUAGACUUACAAAUACAGCAGCCACAGUUACCCGGAUUCCCCACAGCUUCAGUUUUCUCCUUGACUCAAUUUGUGUGUGUUUGUGUGUGUGUGUGUGUGUGUGUGUGUGUGUGUGUGUGUGUGUGUGUGUGUGAUUUAGUUAAGAAAGAGAAGGCCAUUCAAUGACAGCUCUAAAGUAAUUGCUUUUCACGGGGUAGCCAGCUUUUCUUCCCUCCUCUGCAUAAAUGAAAUACUCAUAACAUCAUGGGACUUUCUGAGUGACCUGAUUUUGAUAGGCACUUUGUGCUGUGUGCCCAUCCUCAGCUCUGUUCUGGCAAGUGGUGUGGCAUGCAGGGAGGGGACAGACUAUAGCUGGCACUGUUCAUCCCAGAGGGCUUAGAACAGAGCAGGUUCAGUCCCCAGGCACAGGAGGGGAUGGUAGCAGGGAGGGAGAAUCAGGAAGGUGACAAUUCAGGUGCAGCCUUUGUGCCUGGUGAAGAGAUGAAGGCUCCAACAAACUGAAAACAGCCUUGCCAAGAAAGUAAUUAAGAUUGAGUUUUGUUGAAUUCCUAGUAUUCAAAUGCUUAGGCUGUAAGAUGGAGACACAAAAGUGGGACUGGGGAUGCCCCCACCCCUCCUCAGCCUAAUGAGCAGCAGAGCACUAUUUCCUACAGCCCCUGAACCGAGAGCAAGGCUGUAUUUCACACAGAAGCAAGUGGCCUGAAGGGUUGAUCUUAUUUUCUUUGGGGAAUAUUUUUGACUUCAGACAAAUGAUUUCCGCUUUGCUAUUUAUGUCCUUCUUGUUUCUUUGCUUACUCUGUAGUGUAUUUUUAUUCUUUUUUUUCUCUUUGAAACUUAACCUUUCUUGGUGGGGAAUAUAGAGCUGAAGCUGGGUAAUGGAGCAGCAGGGGCCCGAAGUACACCCUGUGCCUUGUGGAGGCUGCUCUUUCAGGUGCUCCAACUCCCAGAAAGUGAGAAUGAUCCCUGUAGAAACUCCUCCCCCACCAAGGAUCACUGGACUAGCUGCCCAAGGGGAGUCCACAGAUAAUUUGAGCAGUGUCUGACACCUUCUGGUCUCCUGAACUGGAGUUAAUAGAUGGUUGUGAGCCACCGUGUGGGUGUGGGAAAUUGAACCAGGGUCCUCUAGAAGAGCAGCCAGCGCCCUUAACUGCAGGGGCACCUCUCAAGCCUCCUAUGAGAGAUAUUCUAAUGGCUUGGCAGAGAACCUAGUCAUAGCUGAACAUAUAAAGUGGAAGAAGCAGGGAGAUGAAAAGACUUGGAGCUUCUCUGUGAGGGAAUGGGAUCUUCUGUAUAGGUGGGUGUAAAGGGAAGUAGGCUGCCUCAGUGUCCACAAGGACAGGCACCAGCACCUCCCCUUCAGGGUAAAGUUCUAUUAGCAUUGAAUUGCAUAAAAGUGCACAUAUAGCCAGGCAUUGGUGGUGCAUGGCUUUAAUCCCAUCUCUUGGCAGAGGCA